rnacentral:rRNA from 1 species
GGGUUGUGAGGUUAAGCGACUAAGCGUACACGGUGGAUGCCCUGGCAGUCAGAGGCGAUGAAGGACGUGCUAAUCUGCGAAAAGCGUCGGUAAGGUGAUAUGAACCGUUAUAGCCGGCGAUGUCCGAAUGGGGAAACCCAGUGUGAUUCGUCACACUAUCGUUAACUGAAUACAUAGGUUAACGAGGCGAACCGGGGGAACUGAAACAUCUAAGUACCCCGAGGAAAAGAAAUCAACCGAGAUUCCCCCAGUAGCGGCGAGCGAACGGGGAGCAGCCCAGAGUCUGAAUCAGCUUGUGUGUUAGUGGAACGGUCUGGAAAGUCCGACGGUACAGGGUGAUAGUCCCGUACACCAAAAUGCACAGGUUGUGAACUCGAAGAGUAGGGCGGGACACGUGGUAUCCUGUCUGAAUAUGGGGGGACCAUCCUCCAAGGCUAAAUACUCCUGACUGACCGAUAGUGAACCAGUACCGUGAGGGAAAGGCGAAAAGAACCCCGGCGAGGGGAGUGAAAAAGAACCUGAAACCGUGUACGUACAAGCAGUGGGAGCACCUUCGGGUGUGACUGCGUACCUUUUGUAUAAUGGGUCAGCGACUUAUAUUCUGUAGCAAGGUUAACCGUAUAGGGGAGCCGCAGGGAAACCGAGUCUUAACUGGGCGUUAAGUUGCAGGGUAUAGACCCGAAACCCGGUGAUCUAGCCAUGGGCAGGUUGAAGGUUGGGUAACACUAACUGGAGGACCGAACCGACUAAUGUUGAAAAAUUAGCGGAUGACUUGUGGCUGGGGGUGAAAGGCCAAUCAAACCGGGAGAUAGCUGGUUCUCCCCGAAAGCUAUUUAGGUAGCGCCUCGUGAAUUCAUCUUCGGGGGUAGAGCACUGUUUCGGCUAGGGGGUCAUCCCGACUUACCAACCCGAUGCAAACUACGAAUACCGAAGAAUGUUAUCACGGGAGACACACGGCGGGUGCUAACGUCCGUCGUGAAGAGGGAAACAACCCAGACCGCCAGCUAAGGUCCCAAAGUCAUGGUUAAGUGGGAAACGAUGUGGGAAGGCACAGACAGCCAGGAUGUUGGCUUAGAAGCAGCCAUCAUUUAAAGAAAGCGUAAUAGCUCACUGGUCGAGUCGGCCUGCGCGGAAGAUGUAACGGGGCUAAACCAUGCACCGAAGCUGCGGCAGCGACACUAUGUGUUGUUGGGUAGGGGAGCGUUCUGUAAGCCUGCGAAGGUGACCUGUGAGGGUUGCUGGAGGUAUCAGAAGUGCGAAUGCUGACAUAAGUAACGAUAAAGCGGGUGAAAAGCCCGCUCGCCGGAAGACCAAGGGUUCCUGUCCAACGUUAAUCGGGGCAGGGUGAGUCGACCCCUAAGGCGAGGCCGAAAGGCGUAGUCGAUGGGAAACAGGUUAAUAUUCCUGUACUUGGUGUUACUGCGAAGGGGGGACGGAGAAGGCUAUGUUAGCCGGGCGACGGUUGUCCCGGUUUAAGCAUGUAGGCUGGUUAUCCAGGCAAAUCCGGAUAAUCAAGGCUGAGGUGUGAUGACGAGGCACUACGGUGCUGAAGUAACAAAUGCCCUGCUUCCAGGAAAAGCCUCUAAGCAUCAGGUAACAUCAAAUCGUACCCCAAACCGACACAGGUGGUCAGGUAGAGAAUACCAAGGCGCUUGAGAGAACUCGGGUGAAGGAACUAGGCAAAAUGGUGCCGUAACUUCGGGAGAAGGCACGCUGGUGUGUAGGUGAAGCCCCUGCGGGUGGAGCUGAGACCAGUCGAAGAUACCAGCUGGCUGCAACUGUUUAUUAAAAACACAGCACUGUGCAAACACGAAAGUGGACGUAUACGGUGUGACGCCUGCCCGGUGCCGGAAGGUUAAUUGAUGGGGUUAUCCGUAAGGAGAAGCUCUUGAUCGAAGCCCCGGUAAACGGCGGCCGUAACUAUAACGGUCCUAAGGUAGCGAAAUUCCUUGUCGGGUAAGUUCCGACCUGCACGAAUGGCGUAAUGAUGGCCAGGCUGUCUCCACCCGAGACUCAGUGAAAUUGAACUCGCUGUGAAGAUGCAGUGUACCCGCGGCAAGACGGAAAGACCCCGUGAACCUUUACUAUAGCUUGACACUGAACAUUGAGCCUUGAUGUGUAG